rnacentral:rRNA from 1 species
CAAGGGACGCUAGUACAGGUGGUGCAUGGCUGUCGUCAGCUCGUGUCGUGAGAUGUUGGUUAAGUCCCGCAACGAGCGCAACCCCUGUCUUUAGUUGCCAGUAUUCAAAGUUAGGCACUCUAAAGAUACUGCCUCGGUUAACGGGGAGGAAGUGGGGACGACGUCAAGUCCUCAUUGGCCUUUAUAUCCAGGGCUACACACGUGCUACAAUGGGUCGUACAAAGGGUCGCCACUCCGCGAGGAGGAGCUAAUCCCAAAAAGCGGCUCUCAGUUCGGAUCGGAGUCUCGCAACUCGACUCCGUGAAGUUGGAAUCGCUAGUAAUCGUGGAUCAGCAUGCCACGGUCGAAUACGUUCCGGGCCUU